rnacentral:lncRNA from 1 species
CCAAAACGUACGUGCCCUCGGCACAAUCUGACACAACAUCAGUAAUCUGGGUCCACCGUUAACCCCCAACGGCACCGGACAGUCCGGAACAGUCUGAACACUACAGUAAAAAUACACUCUACAUCUCAGCACGAGCGUAAAUGCAUUCUAAACUACCCUGGGUAUCCACCUCUCUGAAACUGCGGUAAUACAAUCAAACCACGACUCCUAGAGCUAAAUCAGGUAGUUAAGCAUAUGACAGAUUCAAAU